GCUUGCACCUGGUGGCGAGUGGCGAACGGGUGAGUAAUACAUCGGAACAUGUCCUGUAGUGGGGGAUAGCCCGGCGAAAGCCGGAUUAAUACCGCAUACGAUCUACGGAUGAAAGCGGGGGACCUUCGGGCCUCGCGCUAUAGGGUUGGCCGAUGGCUGAUUAGCUAGUUGGUGGGGUAAAGGCCUACCAAGGCGACGAUCAGUAGCUGGUCUGAGAGGACGACCAGCCACACUGGGACUGAGACACGGCCCAGACUCCUACGGGAGGCAGCAGUGGGGAAUUUUGGACAAUGGGCGAAAGCCUGAUCCAGCAAUGCCGCGUGUGUGAAGAAGGCCUUCGGGUUGUAAAGCACUUUUGUCCGGAAAGAAAUCCUUGGUUCUAAUAUAGCCGGGGGAUGACGGUACCGGAAGAAUAAGCACCGGCUAACUACGUGCCAGCAGCCGCGGUAAUACGUAGGGUGCGAGCGUUAAUCGGAAUUACUGGGCGUAAAGCGUGCGCAGGCGGUUUGCUAAGACCGAUGUGAAAUCCCCGGGCUCAACCUGGGAACUGCAUUGGUGACUGGCAGGCUAGAGUAUGGCAGAGGGGGGUAGAAUUCCACGUGUAGCAGUGAAAUGCGUAGAGAUGUGGAGGAAUACCGAUGGCGAAGGCAG
rnacentral:rRNA from 1 species